rnacentral:rRNA from 1 species
UACGGAGGAUCCAAGCGUUAUCCGGAUUCACUGGGUUUAAAGGGUGCGUAGGCGGGCAAGUAAGUCAGUGGUGAAAUCUCCGGGCUUAACCCGGAAACUGCCAUUGAUACUAUUUGUCUUGAAUACUGUGGAGGUCAGCGGAAUAUGUCAUGUAGCGGUGAAAUGCUUAGAUAUGACAUAGAACACCAAUUGCGAAGGCAGCUGGCUACACAAAUAUUGACACUGAGGCACGAAAGCGUGGGGAUCAAACAGG